rnacentral:snoRNA from 1 species
UGAAAUGAUGAAUUACAUUUAUUAUCUUAUCUACAUUAUCUGAAGUAUUAAUAGCUAACAAUAGCAAUUAAUUGAAGAUACACGAAUCAACACAAUUCUGACC